AAAAAAUAUGGAGGAGUCACAAUCUUUGAAAAUCAAAUUUAUCUUGAAAAUCUGUAUCCGGGACACAUUGAUACUGGAAUGUGACACCCACAAAGUUGUCGUUUCAUCACAACUGCACAGUGGAAACUUGUUCGGUUUGAACUUCUCAGCGAUUUUCGAUUCGUAAGCGGUUAUUAUUUUGCUGGCAUUAUACGCAGCUUCAAACUCG